rnacentral:rRNA from 1 species
GAAUAUUGGGCAAUGGGCGAAAGCCUGACCCAGCGACGCCGCGUGCGGGAUGAAGGCCUUCGGGUUGUAAACCGCUUUCAGCAGGGAAGAAGCGAAAGUGACGGUACCUGAAGAAGAAGCACCGGCUAACUAUGUGCCAGCAGCCGCGGUAAUACAUAGGGUGCAAGCGUUGUCCGGAAUUAUUGGGCGUAAAGGGCUCGUAGGUGGUUCGUUACGUCGGAUGUGAAAACCUGAGGCUCAACCUCAGGCCUGCAUUCGAUACGGGCGAACUUGAGUGUGGUAGGGGAGGCUGGAAUUCCUGGUGUAGCGGUGGAAUGCGCAGAUAUCAGGAGGAACACCAAUGGCGAAGGCAGGCCUCUGGGCCACUACUGACACUGAGGAGCGAAAGCGUGGGGAGCAAACAGGAUUAGAUACCCGUGUAGUC